rnacentral:rRNA from 1 species
UACGUAGGGUGCAAGCGUUAAUCGGAAUUACUGGGCGUAAAGCGUGCGCAGGCGGUUUUGUAAGUCUGUCGUGAAAUCCCCGGGCUUAACCUGGGAACUGCAUUUGUGACUGGCGAGCUAGAGUAUGGCAGAGGGGGGUAGAAUUCCACGUGUAGCAGUGAAAUGCGUAGAGAUGUGGAGGAAUACCGAUGGCGAAGGCAGCCCCCUGGGCCCAAUACUGACGCUCAUGCA